AUACUAUGCUAGGCAUUGGAGACACUGGUGGUGUACUAAUAAAUACGACCAGAAGAGGCCCGUUUUAGAAGUCAACAGAAGCAUUCUCUGUGUGAUAUUUUUUGUCUAAUAUGGAGAGAAAGCAAGGAAGAAAAAAAUAAGAAUGUGAAAAAUAAAAUAAAGAGAAUAGAAGUUAGAAGAAAGCAGGGAAGGGAAGCUGAAUAUAGUUGCUAGAAAUCCAGAUGCAUAAAGAGAAAGCAGAAAGAAGAAAAUUCAGGAAGAUAUCUGUAAAUCUGGGUAUUCCCUUCCAUGGAAAAACACAGGCUCACAGCUCCAUACAUUGGGAUUCUCCCUUGUCAUACACACAAAGCACAGAUUAUAUGUACUUACUCUCAGCUUCACCAAAUUCAUCUCACACAAAAUGCAAGGUCCCACUUCUGAACAGAGUAGUUUCCUUUGAGGACAUAUUUAAAGUGAAGGAUGUCCAAAUUACACAACAUACCACCAAUACAAAUAACAUGGAAACAAGAAAAAACAUUACCCCAAAUUAUUUGUGAGAAGGCAA
rnacentral:lncRNA from 1 species